ACCUACGGGAGGCAGCAGUAGGGAAUCUUCCACAAUGGACGAAAGUCUGAUGGAGCAACGCCGCGUGAGUGAAGAAGGGUUUCGGCUCGUAAAGCUCUGUUGGUAGUGAAGAAAGAUAGAGGUAGUAACUGGCCUUUAUUUUACGGUAAUUACUUAGAAAGUCACGGCUAACUACGUGCCAGCAGCCGCGGUAAUACGCAGGUGGGAAGCGUUGUCCGGAUUUAUUGGGCGUAAAGCGAGGGCAGGCGGUACAACAAAGUUUGAGUGGAAACCUUCGGCUCCACCCG
rnacentral:rRNA from 1 species